GUACACACCGCCCGUCGCUACUACCGAUUGAAUGGCUCGGUGAGGCCUUCGGACUGGCCCAGGGAGGUCGGCAACGACCACCCAGGGCCGGAAAGUUGGUCAAACCCGGUCAUUUAGAGGAAGUAAAAGUCGUAACAAGGUCUCCGUAGGUGAACCUGCGGAGGGAUCAUUA
rnacentral:rRNA from 1 species